rnacentral:tRNA from 1 species
GCUAUUAUAAUUUAAAUAAAAUAUUGGUCUUGUAAACCAAAAAUGGAAAACUCCUUAUAGCA